rnacentral:rRNA from 1 species
UCGCUCCCAACCCCUUCGACACGUCGAGGGGCACCGGGGCGGAUGUUGGCCUCCCGUGCGCCGAUAGGCGAGCGGUUGGCCCAAAAGCCGAGUUCCCGGCGAAAGCCGCCACGACAAUCGGUGGUUGUAAGACCCUCUGACACGGUCGUGCGCGGUCCUACGCCAUAAGGGACCCCCGAGACCCCGAUGCAGCCCCGAAGGCCUGCUCCAAUCGCGACCCCAGGUCAGGCGGGACUACCCGCUGAGUUUAAGCAUAUCAAUAAGCGGAGGAAAAGAAACUUACCCAGGAUUCCCCUAGUAACGGCGAGCGAACC